rnacentral:tRNA from 14 species
GGGGCUGUAGCUCAGAUGGGAGAGCGCUGCAAUCGCACUGCAGAGGUCCGGGGUUCGAUUCCCCGCAGCUCCACCA